UUCCUCCCAUCAUAGCGAAUCUACUGUUAAAUUUCUUAACUUUGUAGAAUAUAAGGUUCAAUCAAAUUGUUGAUAGUACGGUUUCGUAUAACCCCACAGAGAAUCUAUAACAAUCUAGUCCAUUUCCAUAUAUUUGGACUGGUGACAACAAAUAGAAAUUGUAACGUGAAUGCCUACACUUUUCUCUCAACUUUGCUAUAUUGAUAAAACUAAGUCCAAACCAUAUGCAGUUAUAAGAACUUGCAAGGCUGCACUUCUCAACAAAUUAGUAAAAUUAAUACAAAAGGAGAAUUUUUACCUAUUGAUCAAAUAUGAAAGUAAUAGC
rnacentral:lncRNA from 1 species